rnacentral:rRNA from 1 species
GAUGAACGCUGGCGGCGUGCCUAAUACAUGCAAGUCGAGCGAACGGACGAGAAGCUUGCUUCUCUGAUGUUAGCGGCGGACGGGUGAGUAACACGUGGAUAACCUACCUAUAAGACUGGGAUAACUUCGGGAAACCGUAGCUAAUACCGGAUAAUAUUUUGAACCGCAUGGUUCAAAAGUGAAAGACGGUCUUGCUGUCACUUAUAGAUGGAUCCGCGCUGCAUUAGCUAGUUGGUAAGGUAACGGCUUACCAAGGCAACGAUGCAUAGCCGACCUGAGAGGGUGAUCGGCCACACUGGAACUGAGACACGGUCCAGACUCCUACGGGAGGCAGCAGUAGGGAAUCUUCCGCGAUGGGCGAAAGCCUGACGGAGCAACGCCGCGUGAGUGAUGAAGGUCUUCGGAUCGUAAAACUCUGUUAUUAGGGAAGAACAUAUGUGUAAGUAACUGUGCACAUCUUGACGGUACCUAAUCAGAAAGCCACGGCUAACUACGUGCCAGCAGCCGCGGUAAUACGUAGGUGGCAAGCGUUAUCCCGGAAUUUUGGGCGUAAAGCGCGCGUAGGCGGUUUUUUUAAUUCUGAUGUGAAAGCCCACGGCUCAACCGUGGAGGGUCAUUGGUAAACUGGAAAACUUGCGUGCCGAAGAAGAAAGUGGAAUUCCCUGUGUAACGGUGAAAUGCGCAGAGAAUAUGGAGGAACACCACUGGCGAAGGCGGCUUUCUGGUCUGUAACUGACGCUGAUGUGCGAAAGCGUGGGGAUCAAACAGGAUUAUUAUACCCUGGGUAGUCCACGCCGUAAACGAUGAGUGCUAAGUGUUAGGGGGUUUCCGCCCCUUAGUGCUGCAGCUAACGCAUUAAGCACUCCGCCUGGGGAGUACGACCGCAAGGUUGAAACUCAAAGGAAUUGACGGGGACCCGCACAAGCGGUGGAGCAUGUGGUUUAAUUCGAAGCAACGCGAAGAACCUUACCAAGUCUUGACAUCCUUUGACAACUCUAGAGAUAGAGCCUUCCCCUUCGGGGGACAAAGUGACAGGUGGUGCAUGGUUGUCGUCAGCUCGUGUCGUGAGAUGUUGGGUUAAGUCCCGCAACGAGCGCAACCCUUAAGCUUAGUUGCCAUCAUUAAGUUGGGCACUCUAAGUUGACUGCCGGUGACAAACCGGAGGAAGGUGGGGAUGACGUCAAAUCAUCAUGCCCCUUAUGAUUUGGGCUACACACGUGCUACAAUGGACAAUACAAAGGGCAGCGAAACCGCGAGGUCAAGCAAAUCCCAUAAAGUUGUUCUCAGUUCGGAUUGUAGUCUGCAACUCGACUACAUGAAGCUGGAAUCGCUAGUAAUCGUAGAUCAGCAUGCUACGGUGAAUACGUUCCCGGGUCU